UGUUACAUUUUGCACUAUGUUUGGAUGUUACAUUUUGCACUAUUACAAACAUAGUGCAAAAUGUAACAUUCAAACAUAGUGCAAAAUGUAACA
rnacentral:pre_miRNA from 1 species